AUUGAACGCUGGCGGCAUGCCUUACACAUGCAAGUCGAACGGCAGCACGGGAGCAAUCCUGGUGGCGAGUGGCGAACGGGUGAGUAAUAUAUCGGAACGUGCCCAGUAGUGGGGGAUAACUGCUCGAAAGAGCAGCUAAUACCGCAUACGACCUGAGGGUGAAAGGGGGGGAUCGCAAGACCUCUCGCUAUUGGAGCGGCAGAUAUCAGAUUAGCUAGUUGGUGGGGUAAAGGCCUACCAAGGCAACGAUCUGUAGUUGGUCUGAGAGGACGACCAGCCGCACUGGGACUGAGACACGGCCCAGACUCCUACGGGAGGCAGCAGUGGGGAAUUUUGGACAAUGGGCGCAAGCCUGAUCCAGCAAUGCCGCGUGCAGGAAGAAGGCCUUCGGGUUGUAAACUGCUUUUGUCAGGGAAGAAAUCCUCUAGGUUAAUACCCUUGGGGGGAUGACGGUACCUGAAGAAUAAGCACCGGCUAACUACGUGCCAGCCGCCGCCGUAAUAC
rnacentral:rRNA from 1 species